UUCUAGCUCAACAUCCUGACAUUUGUACUAAGGCUGGUGUUCCUAGUAAGAGAGGUUGUGAUUUGUCUUUUGAUUUUAGACUGUUUGAGGGUACACAUGCUGCAGACUGUGCUGCAUCAUCUGUCAAUCAGUCAACUGAUGUUUUGCCUGGGAAGCAAAUGAUUGUUGACUUCAAGGUGUUUUUUCAAUGUCAAUCCUGGUGUUCUUAAUGAUAUUGCAGGUGGUGAUACUGAGGUAGAGGAGGAGGACUCUGACGCAAGUCCUUCUAUGUGACCUGCUUAUGCUUUAUUUGCAUGUCCUUUUGGAUUUUAAUUUGUAGGGCUACGCCCUGAUG
rnacentral:lncRNA from 1 species